CCUACGGGAGGCUGCAGUAGGGAAUCUUCCACAAUGGGCGAAAGCCUGACCCAGCAACGCCGCGUGAAGGAAGAAGGCUUUCGGGUUGUAAACUUCUUUUCUCAGGGACGAAGCAAGUGACGGUACCUGAGGAAUAAGCCACGGCUAACUACGUGCCAGCAGCCGCGGUAAUACGGAGGUGGCAAGCGUUAUCCGGAUUUAAUGGGUUUAAAGGGCGUGUAGGCGGGACUGGAAGUCAGAUGUGAAACCCACGGGCUCAACCUGUGGCCUGCAGUUGAUACUGUAGUUCUUGAGUACUGGAGAGGCAGACGGAAUUCGUGGUGUAGCGGUGAAAUGCGUAGAUAUUAGGAGGAACACCAGUGGCGAAGGCGGUCUGCUGGACAGCAACUGACGCUGAGGCGCGAAAGCGUGGGGAGCAAACAGGAUUAGAUACCCGAGUAGUC
rnacentral:rRNA from 1 species